rnacentral:rRNA from 1 species
GACGAACGCUGGCGGCGUGCCUAAUACAUGCAAGUCGAGCGGACCGAAGGGAGCUUGCUCCUUUAGGUUAGCGGCGGACGGGUGAGUAACACGUGGGCAACCUGCCCUGCAGACUGGGAUAACUUCGGGAAACCGGAGCUAAUACCGGAUAACACCGAAAACCGCAUGGUUUUUGGUUGAAAGGCGGCUUUUAGCUGUCACUGCAGGAUGGGCCCGCGGCGCAUUAGCUAGUUGGUGAGGUAACGGCUCACCAAGGCGACGAUGCGUAGCCGACCUGAGAGGGUGACCGGCCACACUGGGACUGAGACACGGCCCAGACUCCUACGGGAGGCAGCAGUAGGGAAUCUUCCGCAAUGGACGAAAGUCUGACGGAGCAACGCCGCGUGAGCGAAGAAGGGUCUUCGGAUCGUAAAGCUCUGUUGUCAGGGAAGAACAAGUACCGUUCGAACAGGGCGGUACCUUGACGGUACCUGACGAGGAAGCCACGGCUAACUACGUGCCAGCCGCCGCGGUAA